UGGGGAAUUUUGGACAAUGGGCGAAAGCCUGAUCCAGCAAUGCCGCGUGUGUGAAGAAGGCCUUCGGGUUGUAAAGCACUUUCAGCGAGGAGGAAGGUGGUGAACUUAAUACGUUCAUCAAUUGACGUUACUCGCAGAAGAAGCACCGGCUAACUCCGUGCCAGCAGCCGCGGUAAUACGGAGGGUGCAAGCGUUAAUCGGAAUUACUGGGCGUAAAGCGCACGCAGGCGGUUUGUUAAGUCAGAUGUGAAAUCCCCGGGCUCAACCUGGGAACUGCAUUUGAAACUGGCAAGCUAGAGUCUCGUAGAGGGGGGUAGAAUUCCAGGUGUAGCGGUGAAAUGCGUAGAGAUCUGGAGGAAUACCGGUGGCGAAGGCGGCCCCCUGGACGAAGACUGACGCUCAGGUGCGAAAGCGUGGGGAGCAAACAGAUUAGAUACCCUGGUAGUCCACGCUGUAAAACGAUGUCGAUUUUGGAGGUUGUGCCCCUUGAGGCGUGGNUUCCGGAGCUAACGCGUUAAAUCGACCGCCUGGGGGAGUA
rnacentral:rRNA from 1 species